UGCGCGCCUGAUGCGAACUGCUAGAAAUUACGGUGGUGUCCUGUCGGCCAGUUUGGCGGGAACCGUUACAACGAAGCGGAGUGGUGGAGUUGCCAGGAGGUGCAAACAAAGAAAGCAUUAAUGCGAUCUGUGAGUGCAACGAGGAAAACGCGACUGCUUCAAAUGAAAAAGUAUCUGAGAAGCCUGCAGAAAGUGACCACGCUUCCAGCAACCCAAUCCCUUGUCCUGACGCACUACUUAACUGAAGGACAUGGUCACAGAUCCCUUUUGCAUGUACCUUGGGCGAAUGAAAAUGCUUUUGGCCGCAACUGCAGAGGCCCGCAGCUCCAAUGCACCAGAUGAUUUGCCGUCAUACUUUUUAAAUCCUGACGUGGUAAGAUCACUCAUGUUUUUCAAAUCGUGUGGGUCUGCUCUGUAAGGUUAAGAGUAGGUUAUUUUGUAAGCUGUGAUUUAUGUUUAGUCAGCUGUGCUCUGUAGCAUUUGAGAAAUGAUAAAAAGUGACUGGUCAUUUACACAGACCAGCUUGCACUUUAUAACCUUUAACACUGGUGAAAAGGCAUUGCUAUAACAAUGAAUGUUCAAAGAUCUCAUCUAAGUCAAGAUGAAUAUAGAAUCAACUCCGCUGCUUGAGUAGUUGUGUGAAGGUGAUAUUUUCUCUCAUCGUAUCGUUCAGCAGAAUUAAAGUAUUUGAAGCUUUCCUAGGGCCUGUUUUUGUUUCAGUGGGCCAUAAAGUGUCAGGCAAUGUGCAUUUCUUUCAGCUUGCCUUUGAAGCAGAAAUAAGGUUUAGAGACACAGUGGAGGCUUG